UACAGAGGGUGCGAGCGUUAAUCGGAAUUACUGGGCGUAAAGCGUGCGUAGACGGUUGUUUAAGUCAGAUGUGAAAGCCCCCGGGCUCAACCUGGGAAUUGCAUUUGAGACUGAAUAGCUAGGGUGCGGAAGAGGGAAGCGGAAUUUCCGGUGUAGCAGUUGAAAUGCGUAGAUAUCGGAAGGAACAUCAGUGGCGAAAGCGGCUUCCUGGUCCAGCACCGACGUCAGGCACGAAAGCGUGGGGAGCAAACAGGG
rnacentral:rRNA from 1 species